GAUGAAGAACGCAGCGAAAUGCGAUACUUGGUGUGAAUUGCAGAAUCCCGUGAACCAUCGAGUUUUUGAACGCAAGUUGCGCCCGAAGCCGUUAGGCCGAGGGCACGCCUGCCUGGGUGUCACACAUCGUUGCCCCAAUGCCAAUCGCCUCACUUUGUAGGUAUUUGCUUGGGGUGAAUGUUGGCCUCCCGUGAGCUUUGUCUCACGGUUGGUUGAAAAUCGAGUGCAUGGUGUCGGGUGUACCAUGAUGGAUGGUGGUUGAGUGAUGAUGCUCGGUGACCCACAUGCGUCCCUUGGAUGCUCCCUAAGGAGACCUCAGGUCAGGCGGGGCUACCCACUGAGUUUAAGCGUAUCAAUAAGCGGAGGA
rnacentral:misc_RNA from 1 species